GUGGAGUAACCUUUUAUUAGGAGCUAGCCGUCGAAGGUGGGACAAAUGAUUGGGGUGAAGUCGUAACAAGGUAGCCGUAUCGGAAGGUGCGGCUGGAUCACCUCCUUUCUAAGGA
rnacentral:rRNA from 1 species